rnacentral:rRNA from 1 species
UACGUAGGGUGCGAGCGUUAAUCGGAAUUACUGGGCGUAAAGCGUGCGCAGGCGGUUUUGUAAGCCAGAUGUGAAAUCCCCGGGCUUAACCUGGGAAUGGCAUUUGGAACUGCAAGGCUAGAGUAUGGCAGAGGAGACUAGAAUUUCUGGUGUAGCAGUGAAAUGCGUAGAUAUCAGAAGGAAUACCGAUGGCGAAGGCAGGUCUCUGGGUCAAUACUGACGCUCAUGCACGAAAGCGUGGGGAGCAAACAGA